AGCAGCCGCGGUAAUUCCAGCUCCAAUAGCGUAUAUUAAAGUUGUUGCAGUUAAAAAGCUCGUAGUUGAAUUUCGGGAUUGGCGCAUCGGUCGUGCCUUACGGGGUAUGAACUGGUGCAGUCAAUUUCUCACCUUCUGGAGAACCGCGAUGUCCUUAAUUGGGUGCCGCGGGGAACCAGGACCUUUACUUUGAAAAAAUUAGAGUGUUUAAAGCAGGCAUUUUUGCUUGAAUACAUUAGCAUGGAAUAAUAAAAUAGGACGGCAUGGUUCUAUUUUGUUGGUUUCUAGGACCGCCGUAAUGAUUAAUAGGGAUAGUUGGGGGCAUUAGUAUUCAAUUGUCAGAGGUGAAAUUCUUGGAUUUAUUGAAGACUAACUACUGCGAAAGCAUUUGCCAAGGAUGUUUUCAUUAAUCAAGAACGAAAGUUAGGGGAUCGAAGACGAUCAGAUACCGUCGUAGCCUUAACCAUAAACUAUGCCGACUAGGAAUCAGACGAUGUUAAUUUUUUAAUGACUCGUUUGG
rnacentral:rRNA from 1 species